rnacentral:rRNA from 1 species
AGAGUUUGAUUAUGGCUCAGGAUGAACGCUAGCUACAGGCUUAACACAUGCAAGUCGAGGGGCAGCAGGACGAUAGCUGCUAUGUGCUGGCGACCGGCGCACGGGUGAGUAACGCGUAUCCAACCUUCCCCUUAGUAGGGCAUAGCCCGUAGAAAUGCGGAUUAAUACCCUAUGUUGUUCGAUGCGGACAUCUAAGUUGAACCAAAGGUUUACCGCUAAGGGAUGGGGAUGCGUCUGAUUAGGCAGCAGGCGGGGUAACGGCCCACCUGGCCUACGAUCAGUAGGGGUUCUGAGAGGAAGGUCCCCCACAUUGGAACUGAGACACGGUCCAAACUCCUACGGGAGGCAGCAGUGAGGAAUAUUGGUCAAUGGGCGCGAGCCUGAACCAGCCAAGUAGCGUGCAGGAUGACGGCCCUAUGGGUUGUAAACUGCUUUUAUGCGGGGAUAAAGUGAGGGACGUGUCCCUUAUUGUAGGUACCGCAUGAAUAAGGACCGGCUAAUUCCGUGCCAGCCGCCGC